rnacentral:lncRNA from 1 species
GUAUUUGCAGCAUUUCUGUUUGCUGAGCUUCCAUGUUUUGGAUUUGUUGGUCAUAGUAAGCAUCUAGUUCGUUACGCCACAUCAGUUCAACAUAGAUCUCAUCAAGAGUGGCAGGUGCCACAUUUCUUCUUCUGGGUCUUUGGCUGGAGGAUGUACCUACAACAUUUUCAGAUGACAUGUGUGUGGUGUGUGGUUUCCACAUUUCUUCUUCUGGGUCUUUGGCUGGAGGAUGUACCUACAACAUUUUCAGAUGACAUGUGUGUGGUGUGUGGUUGUGUGUCAGUAGCGGAGUAGCUUGCUCCG